rnacentral:rRNA from 1 species
UACCAGCACCCCGAGUGGUCGGGACGUUUUAUUGGGCCUAAAGCAUCCGUAGCCGGUUCUACAAGUCUUCCGUUAAAUCCACCUGCUUAACAGAUGGCGUGCGGAAGAUACUAUAGAGCUAGGAGGCGGGAGAGGCAAGCGGUACUCGAUGGGUAGGGGUAAAAUCCGUUGAUCCAUUGAAGACCACCAGUGGCGAAGGCGGCUUGCCAGAACGCGCUCGACGGUGAGGGAUGAAAGCUGGGGGAGCAAACCGG